rnacentral:lncRNA from 1 species
CCCAUUCUAUGAUGUUCAAACAUCUUACAGUUUUGGUAAUUCUAUGACCUUUUUAUAUUAAAUGAGGAUGGUAAAGGGUUAUUUUCGUGCAACGUGAUCGCCGUUUUUUAUUUCACGUUCAACGUGUUUUACUUUUUUAUUUGACGUUCAGUCGUGCAAGACGGGUGCCUCGUUCAACGUGUUCUGCUUAUUUAAUUUUACGUGCAUCGUGAUUUUCAAAGUCUUAUUUUGCGUGCUCGGUAUUUUCAAAUAAAAUUCAAACACUUGGCAGGGAUCGUCAAGAAAUACUUUUUUAAAAGCCGUAAACCAAUUAUAUCAUAAAUGUGUAUACAAAAUCGGGAAUAUCAAGUAAAACAAAGAGUUAAUAUAUACAAGAAAACAGUGACUCAGUCACAAAAGGUUCAAAUAAAAGUAUUUAUUUUUCGUGCAACAUUCAUUACAGAAAUUAUUUCACGUUCAACGUGAAAUUAUGUCUUAUUUCACGUUUUUUUCGUGCAAGCACCCCCCCUUUACCACCCUCUUAAAUGGCUUUAACAAGUAUGAAAUUUUCUAUCCAUAAGUUACCAAAGUAUCAAUGUUGUCUAUUAUGUAUAUGUUCUUUGUUUUAAUUUAUAAAGUGGGAAAUAAUUCAAAUCAAGUUAUCCCAAAUCAUUCAAAUUUAUCAAUUUUUUUUAUCAAAAAUUGAUCAAUCGCUGUCAAAUGUGUCAUUUUCUACCAACUUUAAUACAACAGUUGCUUUAAAAUUAUCAAAUUACUCUGAAUCAAUUCAUCCAAUGUAUAUUUAUGGAUUUUUGAAGGGGAAAUUUCUUUGAUAACCUUUUACUGACAAUGUUUUAUUUCAUUAUUUUUUAAAUGUAGUAUACAUCAAAUAAAUGUCUAACCUUAUUCCCCUCUUUUGCUCCCCAUUAAGACCAAUGUGUCUUUACUAUAGUUGUUAAUAUGAACUUAAUAAUAUGUGGAUACUCCUUUUGUGGUAUGUUAUUUGAACUUGUUCUCAGUUAUUCAGUAAUAGAAGAACUAAUAUUUAUCAUACACCAAUUACAAAAGUGGGUGUAGAAAUUAAAUUUAAUAGUCUUAAAGUG